AAGUGCAGCUCUUGUUAUUUUGAACUAUUAGGAAAAUAUGGUGUAACUUAUGGCAACUUUUGAAGGAAAAGUUACAUUCACUUCCCUUUCUAAGCAAGAAAAGGAGAAAAAUAUAGACCCUCAUGUUGAUGACUUCAGUAAUUCUGUAUGGCCUGCUACGAAAGGUGUGUCUGCUCUCCAAUUAGGCUCAAAGUCUGUGAAAGAAGAUUUUUUGAUCCAGUUACCAUUCGAGUCUGAAGACUUCCUUGAUGGGGGAUAUGAUUCAAGUGAGGAUUCUUGCAAUACAAUGCAAAUUACUAGACCUCCAGAGGUUAACUUGAAAAAUGUUUUAAGUGGGAU
rnacentral:misc_RNA from 1 species